UACAGAGGUGGCAAGCGUUGUUCGGAAUUACUGGGCGUAAAGGGCGCGUAGGCGGCCUUCUAAGUCAGACGUGAAAUCCCCCGGCUUAACCUGGGAACUGCGUCUGAUACUGGGAGGCUUGAGUAUGGGAGAGGGAUGUAGAAUUCCAGGUGUAGCGGUGAAAUGCGUAGAUAUCGACUGGAAUGCCGAUGGUGAAGACGGCCCGCUGGGCUUGUCCUGACGCUCAGGCACGAAAGCGUGGGGAUCAAACAGG
rnacentral:rRNA from 1 species